rnacentral:sRNA from 1 species
AAAAUACCAAAAAAAA